ensembl:lncRNA
UUUUUUUCUUUUGGUGGGAUUUGCCUGAUACUUCUUAAUGAUUAGAUCUGGGUUAUGCAUUUCCAGCUGGGAUAUUACAUAAGUGAUGUUAUAUCUUUGGUGUCUCACAUCUGGUGACACAUGAUGUUCAUAUGUCCCUCAUCUGACAUAUUAAUUUUGUUCACUUAGUAAUCAUUGUAAUAGUUAUGAUUUUCCUCUUUCAACUAAUAAGCAAGCUGUGGGGAGACACUUUAAGACCAUACACAUAUCCUGCUCCCCAACAAAAUCUAUCCCUCCCUAAUCCUAGGUGUAGUAUCCAUUGAUGAUUCUUAUCUGAACCAAUCUUUCUCAUGAUGGUUGCAAAAUGAUAAUAAAGUUAAUAAUAAAGUUGGAUUUUCCAACUCUAACACCCCUACUAUAUUUACUAGUUGGUACUCAACAUUCUACUGUAAUGGACAGUCCUCCCUUUUCUCCUGUUUAUUUAUUAUUAUUUACAUGAACUCUGGAUUCCUGUUUUCCAAGUUUAAAAUUAGUAAGCUGACCUUUAAAAGUAUUUUUCUGUACUUGUUCUAUUUUUAAAAUCUACUUAUUGUUGUGCCAGUACCACAUGCACUUUGUUCAUUCUUAAGACAGAGUCUAUGGUUUAGAUACAUCUUGCUCCUAUUACAUAUUAUUCUGGGUGAAUUUUAGAACCACUUUUACAAAAUUAUACCCCCCAUGCCUUUUCUACUCAUGGCUCUCCUCAAUGCUGGUGGAAGAUGGCAAUGUGCUGAACCUACAAAUUAGCUUAGAAAUAACAGGGAAUUUUGUGGUAUGCAGUCUCUUCAUCAGCAACAGGUCUGCUCUCCCUUUAUUAAAGUUUUAAUCUGACCAACAUUUCUAAUGGACAUAUCUUCUGUAAUACGCAUAGGGUACGUGGAUGUGCUAUUGGCUUGUAAGAUUCUAGAAUGAUCUUAAACUUUUACAAGAGUAUCACCAUGGUGUUGAAGUCAACCAAGAGAAAAUCAAACAAAAUAAUCAAAGAAAUAAAAAGAUGAAGAGGAAGAAGAUUCUAUGUUCAUUUCAUCCAUUUACCAAAUAAACCUUCUAGAAGUUCUAGAUUUCAUUUGCCAGGCACUGUACUAGACAUGGAGAUGCAGAAGGGAAACCAGACCAGAAAAAGCAAGUAAAAUAAUUAGGUGGAUGAAAUAAUAAUAGGAAGCCCUGCUUAACACAGCAGGUAGUAAAGUGCUUGUUGGAAAAUUAUUAAUAGUUUGAUGAGAUUUAAUGUUGUAUGAUUAAUUCAUAAUUUGCUAAUUUACAGUCUAGGAAAACUAGACACAAAAAGGAAAUGCCAGUAUGUCAUACAUUUACAAAAAAUUCUCUUGAGAAAAAUGUAAUUUAAAAUCUGGAGACUUUUCCUCAGAGUUCCACUCUCUAUAUUCUGCCCCAUAGGACAGAACUACCUGGAAAAGCCAGGGACUUCCAUGGCAUCAAUUGAAAGCAUGCAGACCUUGGCUUUCUGUGUUCUGCAAUAAGCGAUUAAGAUUAUCAGACACCAGUGAAAACUACAAUGAAUGGGUUCAACGUGCAUGCUGCUCCUUCUUUAGCCUUUAACAGCUUUUCACCAUCUCUAAGGAGUCUGUCAUCUCUGUUUAGAAGCAUCAGUUUGUGUUACUAGAAGCACUGGCAGAAUCAGAGACCCUGGGAUGUGACCUAGAUCACUUGUCUAUCAGACUAGGCUUGAACCCUCAGAUGGAAGCAUCAUUCACAGCAGGGAGAAAUGGGGGGCAUAACUGCUCUGCAGUGCUAAUUCUAGCUCUAGGCUCUAUCUGUAGUUUAAAG